rnacentral:snoRNA from 1 species
AAGCCAGCAACUAAUCUACUUCUCUGAAUGUGUUUCUGCAGAAAUAUAGAAAAUGCUGGCAAUAGCAAUGCCAUUUUAUGAGCUUUAAGGAUAGCUAUUCAGGUCCCUGAAAAUAGCUACAAUA